rnacentral:rRNA from 1 species
UUUCGCAAUGCCCGAAAGGGUGACGAAGCGACGCCGCGUGUGGGAAGAAGGCCUUCGGGUUGUAAACCACUGUCGGGAGUUAAGAAAGGCGUACGGGUAAAUAGUCCGUGCAUUUGACAAAAGCUCCGGAGGAAGCCACGGCUAACUCUGUGCCAGCAGCCGCGGUAAUACAGAGGUGGCAAGCGUUGUUCGGAAUUAUUGGGCGUAAAGAGCACGUAGGCGGCCCUGCAAGUCAGCUGUGAAAGCCUCCUGCUUAACGGGAGAAGUGCAGUUGAAACUACGGGGCUAGAGUGCGGAAGGGGAGAGUGGAACUUCUGGUGGAGCGGUGAAAUGCGUAGAUAUCAGAAGGAACACCGGCGGCGAAAGCGACUCUCUGGCCCGUAACUGACGCUGAGUGUGCGAAAGCUAGGGGAGCAAACGGGAUUAGAUACCCCGGUAGUCCUAGCCGUAAACGAUGGGCACUAAGUAGAGGGGUUUU